AAAACUUGUAUCAUUUGCUGUGUAACCAAAACUAUGUAGUCAGUUUGCUAUGCAUGUAACCAAGAUGAAAUCCUAGGAAUGUAGAAGACAAUGGUGUGUUAAUAUAUGUUAAUGAGAGGUAGCUAAGAGAUGUAGAUUAGAACAUGAUUAAGUCACGAAGUAAUAAGAAUGUAAACUUGCUAUUUGCUUGAAACCUUAGGAAUGUAAAAGACAAUGGAAGGUGUUAAUGGAAGGUAGAUAAAGAGAUGUAGAUUAGAACUGUACGUGUGGUACGUGUGAAACUAGACCAGGAUUUUGCUAUAAAAAAUGCCGUGUCUGAGGAUCGGUGGGCAAUCAGCGACUGGCUCAGCUUUGAUUUGCAAAUUAAAGUUUAACCCUUCUGGAAGAAUCUUCUGCGUCUCCUAGUCAUUUGUGGGGCACGAGAAACCACGACAUAAUUGGCGACCUCGGCAGGACCGAAAAGAGACCCGCGGAAAGGAAACGGCAGAUUGGGGACGCUUCCCAGUCCUCCGGGACCCCACAAGGCUAACAGAAUUAAGGGUGCACCCAAACAAAAGGUAAGCGCUUUUGCGACAAUUUGGACUAAGAAUUCUGUUGGCUUUGGGGAGGUCUUGGAGUCUCAGAAGUGUGGGACCACUGCCGAAGGGUCUCUCCGGUCCACAGAAUCUGGCAGAAUUGGGGGUUAACAGAGGAGGCUCAGAGGAUUGAUCAAGAACACUGCAGUGAGGAUGCUCCCUUGCAGAACCUCUUGUGUUUACGAAACACUCAAAGGGGCCACUUUGUUGAAGCCAGCAACGUUUGUGACAGAGCUGCUGGUGUGGGGUACCGUCUCUCUUGUGAGAGAGCAAGGAUGAUCGGGAAUGCUCGACUUGCAAAACGGAUUGGGAAAGAAAUACACUUGAUGUAGAAAGGAACAGAGAACAAGCCAUGGAAAAUCACUGGUGUUUCUGCUGCUCCUCUGCGGUGUUGAAAAUGUUGAAAACUACAGAGCUGUAAUCAAAUCUCAGUUGGUUUCUCUGGCUAGAAUGGACAAAGUAUGACACAUGGCCCUGACUUUUCCAAAAGGAUCAAGGGAUCAACAAUCACGGAUCAAUUUUAUACAACAUACAUAUUCACAUGUAUUUGGAAUUUGCUGUGUGUGUUGGUCCGGGCACGACUUGCAACAAAAGAAAAACAGCAUUCAACAAUUAUAUAAAAAAAGAAUGAUAUAAAAAUAGAGGUUGAAAUGGAUAUGUAAUAAAAUGUGCAUAAAUACAUAAAUACCAGCAUGUACAGAUGGCUUCGGCAUUGUCUAAGGCUUUUGCACAGUACUGUAUUUGUCAACAUGGAGCGGCAGAGAGCGAGUUUGUAAUCUGGCAGGAACAAAGGCUGUUGGGAAUGCCAAGGGUGGCACACUGCCAUUGGAGGGGUGUGGGACAUGUGGCAGCAAAGGAGUGUUGGGGCAGUGGGUGGCACAAAUGCAGAUACAACCAACCCUGAGACACCAGGCAAGGUCAAUUGAUCCCAAACAAUUGGCUUAUUGAUUAUUACAGAACGUCUCUGGCGCUUCCCUCUUCCUUCCCCUCUUCCCAUCCAUGAUUCCCCUCUCCCUGCCCCCUUCCCACUCUCAGUCCGUGAUGCACCAUCAGUAACUCACACUGAGACGUAAAGGCGAGAUAUCGGCUUUUAUUGACUGGAAGAAGGAACCAGCAGUGAGUGACCACCAUACUACAUCCUGGAGACUGAGAGGCCGGGCUCAGGCCUCAAUCGCCUUUAUACAGGGGUCUGUGGGAGGAGCCACAGGGGCAGUCAGCAGGGGGCAUGUCCAGACAGGUAUAUGUAGUUCACCACAGUCUGCAAUAGAGGCCCAUAUCAGAAUCAGAUUUAUCAUCGCUCAGGUAUGUCAUAAUUUUUUGUUGCAGCAGUACAGGGUAAUAUACAAUUGCGUGAGUACUAUGUGCAAGUCUUUGGCCCCCUAGCUACAUACAUGUGCUCAAGGCUUUUGCACGCCAGUGUAUUUACAAUGCAAACUGCAUUAUAAUAGUGGGGUUAAAGUGCUUACAGUUUACCAUUAAGGUGCAUAAAGGUACACAAGCUAUACUGCUCUGGAACCUGCCCGUCAUACAGUAAAGGCAAUUCCCGGAUCAUGGUAUUACAUUCAAGGAUGGUACUCUGGUCUUACUCUGAUCAUAUGAACCAUCUCUUAAACGGGCCCUCUUUUACAUCAACAGUCAUAGCUGACAAGUUGAUGAUGGAUUAGUUCUGUGCCCAGUAUUUGGUCUCAUUUGGAGGGAUGGGGGCGAGUGAAGUGGGUAAUAAAUAGAGGGGGGUUCGGGUGGGGGGCUAAGUAGGAUGGCUGAUCAGAAUAACUGCUUGGAGGAAGAAACUUUUGAGAUGGUGUGAGUUUUUUGUUUCGUAAUAGCCCUAUAAUGCUAUGCUGAAGGGAGUUUUGGAGAAGGCAGUUUGCAGCAUGGGUAGUGUCCACAAAGCUUUCUCCUGCUGGCUUCUUUGUCCUGGACAAAUGCAGUGAUGGUUGACAGCGUCCAAUGACCUUUUCUUUCAACCUGAAGGUUUUGUAUACUGUGUUUGAGGACGCGGUACUAACCAGACAGCUGAUAAGUAGAUGCUCUCGUGAAGGCGGUGUAGGGUGUUCCAACAGGCUCCCUUGUUCACCCUGCACAUCAGUCAGGCCAUAGAGUCAUACAGAAUAGAAAGAGGCCCUUUGGCCCCAAUCUUCCAUGCUGACCAUGGAACCCACUCAGGUAGUCCCAUUUGCCAUGUUUGGCCCACAUCCCUCUGACCCACAACUACAUUGUUCGAAGUACAUGCAUUCGAGCACAUAUGGGGUAUCCAGGGAGGGGUAGCAGUUCUGAUAAAAGGAUUUGCCUUCUGGGGCAGCUCCCCACCAGACACUCACCUCUCACCUGUGGCUCCACGUAGGUGUCUGCACGUGACAGCGGCCUCACCCCAGUACACCCUACGACAGGUGGGCUAAACCACGUGAGGGCAGCUGUCAGCCUCACACCCUUUUGAGACAGGGGCAUGCCUGUCCUCGCUUGCGAAGUCAGCUCUGGUGGACGAGAUCGACGGUGAGGGUGGCGGUAUGGCGGAGAGCAAAGAGCACGACGAGGCACAGAAAUGGCCAUCCACGGCAACCAAGGAAGACCCCAGCCUGCGACUCUUGUUCGUACCACUGGACCCGGACUUCCGAUGUCGAGAGAGUGGAACUGUCGCAGUGCAGCAGCUUUUCCAUUUGAAAAACUCUCCUGCAUAGGUCUGCUGUCAUCGUUGGACACAAUGGACAGCCACCAUAUUAUACACAGCCUUGAGGUUCGUCUCCUUACAGGCAGCUACACGACAAGGAAAUCCAGUAGAACUGUCAGGCACCCACCGUGCAAACAACAGGAGUAAGCAGACAGCAUUCAGACAACACACACAAAAUGCUGGUGGAACGCAGCAGGCCAGGCAGCAGCUGUAGGGAGAAGCGCUGUCGACGUUUCGGGCUGAGACCCUUCGUCAGGAAAGCAUUCAGAACUGAAGCUCACAAAAGAGAGUCUGCAGCCAGGAGGCAGUUCAUCGCUGCAGUCGAUCCAAGAGCCCGUCAGUUGCAAAACAGAGCCUCAAUUCAGCGGGAUGAAUGAACCUCGAGAGCACUGGCCUGUUCCCCUGUCUCCAGCCCCGACACCCUGAUCUCUUCAUUCUGGCCCGGCGCUUAAAUCAGUGACACAUUGGCUUGAUCCUCGCUCUCGGGCCACACUGCCUCAACUCUGCCUCGGUUCUGCCCCCUUGAAUAUCGACUAAACGCUGUUAUUGACUCUAUUUCUACCACUUUCUCCAGAAGCUUGUUCUAUAUACCCACCCCCCCCCUGCAAUGAAGAAGUUACCCUUUUAAACCUUUCACCUCUCAGCUUAAACUUAAGCCCUCUAGUUUGUAGUUACCCUUCUUUGGGAAAAAGACCAUGUACCUCCCGUACCUAAUAAAGUAGCCACUGAGUGUACGUUCACUGUCUUCUGCUGCUGUAGCCCAUCCACUUCACGGUUCGACGUGUUGUGCAUUCAGAGAUGCUCUUCUGCACAUCACUGUUGUAAAAUGUGGUUAAUUGAGUUACUGUCGCCUUCCUGUCCAUUUGAACCAGUCUGGCCGUUCUCCUCUGACCUCUCAUUUACAAGGCAUUUUCACCCACAGAACUAUCACUAACUGGAUAUUUCUUGCUUUUCCCAUCAUUCCCUAUAAACUAAGGAGACUGUUGUGCAUGAAAAUCCCAGGAGAUCAGCAGUUUUUAAGAUACUCAAACCACCCCGUUUGGCACCAACAAUCAUUCAACAGUCAAAGUUACUUAGAUCACAUUUCUUCCCCAUUCUGAUGUUUGGCCUGAAUUUUAGUUGAAUCUCUUGACCACGUCUGCAUGCUUUUAUACAUUAAGUUGUUGCCACAAGAUUGGCUGUUUAGAUAUUAAGGAAAUAAGUGCAAAUAUUAUUAUUUGCAUUAAUAAAAUGGCCACUAGUGUAUAAGGUCUCUCCUCAAUAAGUAAGGCUAUUCAACAUCUCCACCCAGUAAUCCACCCCCAGAGUUAAAGUACUGUAUGUACAGACUCUCUUGUGCCUACCAUCACUUUAUGAACAUACAAACAGUUUAUGUGUAUUAGCAAUCUUACAUAUUUAUAUUUAUUGUGUUUUUUAUUAUUGUUGUGUUUUUUUGUACUGCAUUGGAUCCGGAGUAACAAUUUUUUGUUCUCCUUUACACUUGUUUACUGGGAAUUUUAUUAAACAAUCUUGAAUCUUUCAUUAAAAAUUUUUUACUAGACAAUUUUGAAUCUAGUUUACUCCGCAGGGUCUCACACAAGCAAGGAAUUUUAUUGCACCCUGGUUAUAUGACAAUAAACUAACCAGAACCGGAAUGAGGGAAGCCGAUGAGGCAACACGGAGAGUGUGCAAACCCCACGUUGGGGAUCUGAUUGAAACAUACAAGAUUAUUAAGGGAUUGGACACGCUAGAGGCAGGAAACAUGUUCCCGAUGUUGGAGGAGUCCAGAACCAAAGGCCACAGUUUAAGAAUAAGGGGUAGGCCAUUUAGAACGGAGUUCAGGAAAAACUUUUUCACCCAGAGAGUUGUGGAUCUAUGGAAUGCUCUGCCUCAGAAGGCAGUGGAGGCCAAUUCUCUGGAUGCUUUCAAGAAAGAGUUAGAUAGAGCUCUUAAAGAUAGCGGAGUCAAGGGAUAUGGGGAGAGGGCAGGAACGGGGUACUGAUUGUGGAUGAUCAGCCAUGAUCACAUUGAAUGGCGGUACUGACUCAAAGGGGCAAAUGGCCCACUCCUGCACAUAUUGUCUAUUGACAGCACUGGAACUGUACCACCAGCUCCCCAAGUCUCCUCUUCCUACACAACUGUCUAGGCUCCAUCUCAAUUUGAGUUUAAUGGCUCCAACAUCAACCAACGUGCCUUAAGCUCUGAAGUUCUCUCCCUGACCAUCUCUGCCUCUCCACCUCCUCUUAUAAAACACUCCACAAGACCUACCUCUCGGUCACCUGCCUUAAUACCGUUCUUUCUGUUUCCUUGGACUUUGAUUUUGUUCAAUAACAACCCAUCUCAAUGCCCCAGCACGAGUUGCUUUUGGAAAGAUGCUGUAUAAAUGGAUGAGCAUCACACUUUUUAAAAGCUAUUUAUUAAUGCUUUUUGGGAGGGUGAUUUUAGAUGCAUAUCAUAUUUAUACUGAGUUAAAUACUGUAUGUAAUUAGUUUUGCUACAAUAAGUGUAUGGGACACUGGAAAAAUGUUGAAUUUCCCCUUGGGGAUUAAUAAAGUAUCUAUCUAUCUAUCUAUCUAUCUAUCUAUCUAAUGCUGGAGGGACUCAGCAAGUCAGGCAGUAUCUAUGGAGGUGAAUAAAUAGUUGGCAUCUUGGGCCAAGAGCCUUUAUCAGGAUUUGCAGAAAUCCUCCAGAUUUUGUGUUGUUAUUGAAAAAAAAAUCAAAGAACAAGGAACCAGUAUCUGUAGAAUCUCUUGUGUCUAUAUACAGUAUACGGAUGAUAUUUUUGGCAGAAAGAUGAAUUUCCUAUCUUCUAGAUUGGAGCAUGGGAGACUCCUCUUUCUGCCAAAAACAACAACCGUUUAUACGGGCACCAGAGAUUCUGCAGAUGCAGAGAUGUUUGCUGGAUCCUCCUGAGUAUUGUGUUCAGUUCUGGUCACCUCAUUACAGGAAUGAUGUGGAAACUUCAGUGAGAGUGCAGAGAAGAUUUACCAGGAUUCUGCCUGGAUUAGAGAACAUGCUACGAGGGAAGGCUGAACGAGCUUGGGCUUCUCUCUUUGGGGCAAAAGAGGAUGAACUUACUUUACCUUAUUGUCACGAAACAAUUGAUACUAGAGCGUACAAUCCUCACAGUGAUAUUUGAUUCUGCGCUUCGCACUCCAUGAAGUACAAAUCGAAUUAAAUAUAAUAAAAAUUUAAAUUAUAAAUCAUAAUUAGAAAAUAGAAAGGGGAAAGUAAGGUAGUGCAAGUCAGGUCCGGAUAUUUGGAAGGUACGGCCCAGAUCCGGGUCAGGAUCUGUUCAGCAGUCUUAUCACAGUUGGGAAGAAGCUGUUCCCAAAUCUGGCCGUACGAAUCUUCAUGCUCCUGAACCUUCUCCCAGAGGGAAGAGGGACAAAAAGUGUGUCCGCUACUCCUUCUGAAGUCAACAACCAAUUCCUUCGUCUUGCUGACGUUGAGGGAUAGGUUAUUGUCUUUGCACCAUGCCACCAGGUUCUUAAUUUCCUCUCCGUACUCAGACUCAUCAUUACCCAAGAUACGGCCGACAAUUGUGGUGUCAUCAGCAAACUUAUAUAUUGAGUUCAAUUGAAACUUGGCUACACAACUACGGGUGUACAGUGAGUACAGCAGGGGGCUGAGUACACAGCCCUGUGGGGCACCGGUGCUCAGAGUGAUUGUAGAGGAGAGCUUGUCCCCUAUUCUUACAGCCUGGGUCCUGUCUGUGAGGAAGUUGAAGAUCCAGCUGCAGAUCUGAGUGUCAAGACCCAGGUUCCAGAGCUUAGGAAUCAGGAUGAGAGGUGAUUUGAUAUGAUUAUAAGAGAUAGGAGUGGACAGUCAGAGACUUCUUCCCAGGCCAACAAUGGCUAAUACCAGAGGACAUUCUUUUAAGGCAAAUGGAGGAAAAUACUGGGGAGAUGUCAGAGGUAGUUUUAUUUUGCACAUAGAGUGGUAGAUGCCAUGAACACACUGCCGGGUGAGUUGAGUCUAAUACAUUAGGGACUUUUAAGAGGUUCUAAGGUAGGCACAUGUUUGAAAAAAAAUGGAGGGUUAUGCGUGUGGCAAGGGUUAGGUUGGUCUUGGAGCAGGUUAAAGUGUCUGCACAACAUUGUGGGCUGAAGCCGGUACUGUGCCGCGCUGUUGUGUGUUCUAUGUUCUGUGACAGCACAGAUACUGUGGGCUGAAGGGCCUGUGCUGUUCGAUGUCUGAUGCUGGGGAGGGUGGAACGUGGGAUGGGUCACUAACAGGCUGGCACGGCAGCUGAGCAAGGGGAAUUGGUCGCCGUGGGAACAGAAUUUGCAGCAGAGGUGAAGAAUUUUAAAAGCGUUCAUCACUUUUUAAGAACAUCUGCCUCUUCAUGCAGUGAGUUUUCGAGGAGGAAGGGAGGGACCGGAAUAUAGACUAUGACUCGACAAGGCAAAGCAAGCGCAGCAUAUGUUCUGACACAUCCUCUCACUUUGCACCAUACUUGCUGUUCAUUCAAUUUUUCUUAUUUUAAAUAACAAAGUUCUUUCGAAAUUGGGAGAUGAGACCUGGAGCUCCCUCAGGCUCAAUGGGGCCCUUUCCUUCCAUUGUGGUUUGUUCCUGUUUUCUGAAUCCCUGAGUCACCAGGCCUGGCCUGGAGAUGGUCACUGAGUCAUUUCCUUUCUGAGGAUGACAUCACCUCUUUUUAAAGGAUGUGACCGUCGCACCAUCCCUCGGCAGCGUGCAGCAGCAGAGGGCGACAGAGAGGCAAGCACGCCUCAGGCAGCCAGCCUUCGGACCAGACGGUCUGACACAGUGGCGUUAAUUCUGUCCGAACUUCAACAUUUCUUCCACUGUAAUUUUAGCUAUGGUCCAACUGCUGGCAGCCUCUCCUGAGGAGGGUCAGUAACAUCGUAAAGGAUCCCACUCACUCCGCUCAUGGACUCUUUGUCCCACUCCCUUCAGGGAGGAGGCUACGUAGCAUCCAUGCCAAGACCACCAGACUCAAAAACCGUCACUUUUCCUAAGGAGUAAGGCUGAUCAACACCUCCACCCAUUAACCCACCCCUCCGCCACUACAUUAUCACUUCCUGUCAGGGUCACAUGAUGUACUCCUGUGCCUAGCGUCACUUUAUGGACAUACAAUUAACCUAUGCAUAUAAGCUAUCUUGGAUAUUUAUAUUUAUUGUGUUUUUGCAAUUAUUGAGCUCCUUAUCUUAGUGUAUAUUUUAUAUGUUGUAUUGGACCCGGAGUAACAACUAUUUUGUUCUCCUUUGCACUUAUGUAUUGGAUGUGGCAUUAAAUAAUCUUGAAUCUUAAAUAAAACUGAUGUUCUCAGUAUUAUUUAUUUUGUUUUUGCACAGUUUGUCUUCUUUAGCACAUUGGUUGUUUGUCAGUGUUUGUGUGUAGCUUUUCAUAGCUUCUAUUAUAUUUCCUAGUUCUACUCCGAAUGCCCGCAAAAAGUGAAUCUCAGAGUAGUAUAUGGUGAUA